CCUGGAGGGCAGGGAAACAGGUACACAGGAUCUUGCUGCUCCAGUCUCUGUUUGCUAAGAUCAAAGUAUCUUUUAAAUUAUGUAAAUCCACACAAUCUACAGAUCUGCAAUGAAGGAAAAAAAAGAGACGAGUGCAUAGCCACAGGUAUCGUCCCAACACAGUGAGCACCUUUGAUUGCACGAUGAAGAGUGUCAUUCUCUCCGGAAAUAAUUAACAAAUCUGAGGGGCUAUUUACUCAUGCAAGUGACAAAGUGAAUAGGCAACAUCUGGUUAAGAGAAGUCUGUUUCUGAAGCUUGAGAAUCAACCCUUUCCUAGCAACUACGUGUGCAGCAAGUUGAUGAUGCAUUUCCCAAGCAAUGGUUUCAUUCUGAAUGAGUCUGAUUUAGAGGCAGAGAACAUCUGAGUAGAUGUUUGCUGACUGUCUCUCAUCUGAUGGAGAAGGGAGCAAAAGGGAACGUUACAAAUAAGAAUGAAUAUGACCUCCAGGAAUCUCAAGCAGCCUGAUGGCACGGUCCUGGGUGCUGCCAGAGUUCUCCCUGCACAGUCCGUGAGAAGGGACACAGUGGAAUGUGUUGGUGACCUGGCAUGUGAUGGAUGUGCCUGUGCCCAACAGACACAGGGCAGCGAGUCAAUGAAACAAUAUUGAGUGAAAAGCAGCAGCCACUAAGAACUCGUAAGACUUUGGAUGCAUCUCUCUGGUUUGACACUGUCCUGUUGGGUGACCUGAGGCCAACUACCUCCCUCCUGGUGUUUCAAUGCCUCCAGCUAUGAAAAUGGGUCAACAAUAGCUUCCAGCUGUGAAAAGAGCUUUGAAUUGAAAAGAUAAAGAAUGUUACUGAAGAGACAGGGACUAGAAAAAAGGCUUUUCAACCCGAGCUGAUUAUGUAAAGGUAAAACUCUUAAAAGUUAAUAAAGGUAAAAACAUACUUCCCCCCUCCCCCCCCCCACUGGUAGAAUAUCCAGGGACACCGAUGGUAGGAAUUGCCAGCUAAUUUCUGUCCUGCUUACACUGGUUUUGCUAAGCUGGAACAACAUUACAAUGGUUUCAUCGUGGUUGUGGCUAUUUCAGAAAAGGAGAUUCCAUAUCUUAAGUCUACCCUUCUUAAGAGCCCCAGUGAGCAUUCCUCUCAGCUGUCACAAGGAAUGGCUAUCACCCUAAUUAACUAUCAGUCCAUUCACACUAAUAGAAAGUAAGGUAGCAGGUUUUCCCUUGCUAAAAAAAUCCAGGCCUGUUGGCUGUGAAUCAAAAUUUGUUCUUCUGCUAUUUGACAAGUGAACUGAGGUGUGUUAACCUGUGCUUUGCAAUGAGGAGGUUCUGGGCAGUAACAUGGAACCAGCAGGGCCAUGUUCUCCUGAAACCCAGGGAACAACAUCGUGCCCCUCUGUCAGUACCUCAUACACCUCAGUUGAGAGAAGCUGUUCUGAGUGGUUGCACAUACAUAUUCAAUCUGCUACCGUUAUCACUUUUCCUGUGAAGAGUAUUUAAAUGACAAUGACCAACACACCGGGGACUAGUAAAGCAGACCUAACAAGUAACAGUGACAAAUUAUUUGGUAAAAUAAAACUAAAUAAUUAGAAUCUACUGUUCUCUCCAUAGGUAGCUGUAUAUUUUACAGCACUGGGCUUCAUAUCUGUAUCAUAAAGUAAGGAACUGAAAUCCAAAUUGUUUGUACCACACGGAUUUAAUAUUCAGUUUCAACAGCACAUUGCAAUGUUUCUGCAUUAAUGAACACUUCUACUAAAGUCGGGCAGGAUGAUGCAAACAGCAGCAAUACAGAUAAUAAUUAAUGAAAUAAAUGAAAAUCAACCCUGAAGAAUAAAGUAAGAGAAAGGCAAUCUGUGGGUAUCUUGUAGUCUACU